rnacentral:tRNA from 1 species
GGGCCGGUAGUUUAACGGUUAAAACACCGCUCUUGACAGGCGGCAUUCGGGGUCAGAGUCCCCGCCGGUCCA